rnacentral:rRNA from 1 species
GAUGAACGCUGGCGGCGUGCUUAACACAUGCAAGUCGAACGGUGAAGGCGGAGCUUGCUCUGCUGGAUCAGUGGCGAACGGGUGAGUAACACGUGAGCAAUCUGCCCCUGACUCUGGGAUAAGCGCUGGAAACGGCGUCUAAUACUGGAUACGAGCUGCGAAGGCAUCUUCAGCAGCUGGAAAGAAUUUCGGUCAGGGAUGAGCUCGCGGCCUAUCAGCUUGUUGGUGAGGUAAUGGCUCACCAAGGCGUCGACGGGUAGCCGGCCUGAGAGGGUGACCGGCCACAAUGGGACUGAGACACGGCCCAGACUCCUACGGGAGGCAGCAGUGGGGAAUAUUGCACAAUGGGCGAAAGCCUGAUGCAGCAACGCCGCGUGAGGGACGACGGCCUUCGGGUUGUAAACCUCUUUUAGCAGGGAAGAAGCGAAAGUGACGGUACCUGCAGAAAAAGCGCCGGCUAACUACGUG